rnacentral:lncRNA from 1 species
ACAUAUACUGUCCUGAUAGUUUUAUUUUUUCCUUUCAGGUUAAUCACUAGACAACUUGGUCUUUACAACUUCUGUACAACUCAGUUUUUAGCACAGGUUAACUCACAGACUGAUGUCCGAGGAUACUUAAGUUUUGUUUUAAGAAGCAAUGCUGGGGGCCAGUGCUGUGGUGUAGCAGGUGAAGUUACCGCCUGCAGUGCUAGCAUCCCUUAUGGGCACCAGUUCAAGUCCAGGCUACUCCACUUCCCAUCCAACUCUCUGCUAUGGCCUGAGAAAACAGUAGAAGAGGGCCCAAAUCCUUGGGCCCCUGCACCCAUGUGGGAGAUUCAGAAGAGGCUCCUAGCUCCUGUUUUUGGAUAGGCUUAACUCCAGCCGUUGUGGCCGUCUGGGGAGUGAACCAGUGGAUACAAAACAUUCUGUCUCUCAUAUGCCUCUGCCACUCUGUAACUCUUUCAAAUAAAUAAAAUAAAUAAAUCUUUAAAAAAAGCA